rnacentral:rRNA from 1 species
GGAGGCCAGCAGUAGGGAAUUCUUCCACAAUGGACGUAAGUCUGAUGGAGCAACGCCGCGUGAGUGAAGAAGGUUUUCCGGAUCGUAAAACUCUGUUGUUGGAGAAGAAUGUAUCUGAUAGUAACUGAUCAGGUAGUGACGGUAUCCAACCAGAAAGCCACGGCUAACUACGUGCCAGCAGCCGCGGUAAUACGUAGGUGGCAAGCGUUGUCCGGAUUUAUUGGGCGUAAAGCGAGCGCAGGCGGUUUCUUAAGUCUGAUGUGAAAGCCUUCGGCUCAACCGAAGAAGUGCAUCGGAAACUGGGAAACUUGAGUGCAGAAGAGGACAGUGGAACUCCAUGUGUAGCGGUGAAAUGCGUAGAUAUAUGGAAGAACACCAGUGGCGAAGGCGGCUGUCUGGUCUGUAACUGACGCUGAGGCUCGAAAGCAUGGGUAGCAAACAGGAUUAGAUACCCUGGUAGUCCAUGCCGUAAACGAUGAGUGCUAGGUGUUGGAGGGUUUCCGCCCUUCAGUGCCGCAGCUAACGCAUUAAGCACUCCGCCUGGGGAGUACGACCGCAAGGUUGAAACUCAAAGGAAUUGACGGGGGCCCGCACAAGCGGUGGAGCAUGUGGUUUAAUUCGAAGCAACGCGAAGAACCUUACCAGGUCUUGACAUCCUUUGACCACUCUAGAGAUAGAGCUUUCCCUUCGGGGACAAAGUGACAGGUGGUGCAUGGUUGUCGUCAGCUCGUGUCGUGAGAUGUUGGGUUAAGUCCCGCAACGAGCGCAACCCUUAUUACUAGUUGCCAGCAUUUAGUUGGGCACUCUAGUGAGACUGCCGGUGACAAACCGGAGGAAGGUGGGGACGACGUCAAAUCAUCAUGCCCCUUAUGACCUGGGCUACACACGUGCUACAAUGGAUGGUACAACGAGUUGCGAGACCGCGAGGUUUAGCUAAUCUCUUAAAACCAUUCUCAGUUCGGAUUGUAGGCUGCAACUCGCCUACAUGAAGCCGGAAUCGCUAGUAAUCGCGGAUCAGCAUGCCGCGGUGAAUACGUUCCCGGGCCUUGUACACACCGCCCGUCACACCAUGAGAGUUUGUAACACCCAAAGCCGGUGAGGUAACCCUUCGGGAGCCAGCCGUCUAAG